CCCGCCGCCCCCUCCCGCUCUGCUCGCGGCCUGGGAAGUUUCCACCCACGAAGAGAAGGGCUGCUUUAUGUGUGCUUUCGCGGCCUGCGGUCCUCUCCCUUCUUAUUCCCUGCUUUCCCUGCGCCUUCGCCCCAGACAAUCAGACUCUCCAGAAGACGCCCCCUGGGACCCCGAGGGCGGGGUCGUUGAACGGCCGCCAGGUUCUCAGCUUCAGGAGUCUACUCUGCUAAAGAGAACCUCAAGUUCAUUUACAAGUUAGCGAGUGAGACAUCUACACGGCGUCCGUUUGUAGGACGCCAGUUAAAAAAUAACCCAAGUUGUAACUUUCCGGCGCUUUACCUGCCAAUAUCCCUUUCCCACCUUGCCUAAUCUAAUCUCAAUCCUUCUACUUUUUCGUACUACUUGAAACCUGAUUCCUUAAAUCCCUGGCUGUUCACAGACUCUCUUCCUUUGUUUAAAGCCGCUUGGAUCCCAGGGAGGUGAUGUAAGAGGCUGUGAAGUUAGAGUAAGAUUUAGGAGAGUGACUGGGGGUGUAGUUCAGGGGCAGAGAGCUUGCCUAGCCUGCGCGAGGCACUGGGUUGGAGCCCAGGCUCCAAAAAGAGAGAGAGAGAAGGAGAGAUUUAGAGGGUUUACCACUAAUCCUAUGCCCUUAACAUGCCACAUUAACCCUUUAGGACACUGAGGCCUGAUACUAGACGUUUCUUAUGACAGAACAUAAAGAAUUCACUGAAGCAUAAACUGCACUGAGAAGUUUUAAUUAAUUGCUGCCUUUUCAACACCCCCCAAAUGGCCUCAUCCCUUAAAAUUGCUAUGGUAAAACCAUAGAUUGUUCUAAUUAUAAGUGUCAUAUUUAACACUGAAAGUUCACUGUGUUCCCCUGUAGAGGGACCAAGAUUGCACCAUCCUUGUGAGCUGAAACUGUUCAGUGAGCCAACGGUGAUAUUGGUCAUUUGGCCAAUAUUUUCCUGUGUGGUUCCAUGACGGUGAAUAACAAAAGCAGCUGUGUUGAUGAAGAAGGAUGAUAAACAAGGAAGCACCAGCAAAUUAACUUGAGAGACGACCCUUGUAUACCAACUACUGGAAAGAGUUGGGAACAACUAUCAUCAGCAGAGGACACAAGGACCAGACACUCUUCACCUUGGCACCAAGAAAGUGAGAAGGUGGUUGACCUAUGGCUACUGUUUGUCUGCAGAAAGCUUGUUUCAUUGAUGCCAACAGAGAAGUGAAAGUCUUUAAAACCAGCAUCUUUGUGCUGGAAAAGGUGUCGUGAUGGGCAAAGGUGAGACUUACGUGUUGAUGGAGAGAAAUAAAGAAUGUCCACAUGCUUC